GACGAGAGACUAAUCCACACGUGGGCGACAUGGGGACUGAUGGGACUAAUCCGUGAACGGAAUAUGGUAGAAUUUGACUGGACCUGCACACAUUAGACUCAACCAAUCUAAUAAAAUUAAUCAAACUCGAAUUAUUUUUAAUACUGCAAUGAUGUGGUUGUGAAGGAAAACACAUAUUUUUAUGAUUAAAUUUACAAAAUAUGUGUAUUAAAAUAAUGAUAAGUGCUAUGAUAGAGGGGU
rnacentral:lncRNA from 1 species